rnacentral:rRNA from 1 species
UACGUAGGUGGCAAGCGUUAUCCGGAAUUACUGGGCGUAAAGCGCACGCAGGCGGUCUUGUAAGUUUGGCGUGAAAGCUCCCGGCUUAACUGGGAGAGGUCGCUGAAGACUGCAAGACUUGAGGCAAUGAGAGGGGUGUAGAAUUCCUGGUGUAGUGGUGGAAUGCGUAGAUAUCAGGAGGAAUACCAGUGGCGAAAGCGGACACCCUAGCGUUGUUCUGACGCUCAUGUGCGAAAGCGUGGGGAGCGAACGGG